CGGCGGACGGGUGAGUAACACGUGGGUAACCUGCCUGUAAGAACUGGGAUAACUCCGGGAAACCGGGGCUAAUACCGGAUAACACCUACCCCCGCAUGGGGGAAGGUUGAAAGGUGGCUUCGGCUAUCACUUACAGAUGGACCCGCGGCGCAUUAGCUAGUUGGUGAGGUAAUGGCUCACCAAGGCGACGAUGCGUAGCCGACCUGAGAGGGUGAUCGGCCACACUGGGACUGAGACACGGCCCAGACUCCUACGGGAGGCAGCAGUAGGGAAUCUUCCGCAAUGGACGAAAGUCUGACGGAGCAACGCCGCGUGAGUGAAGAAGGUUUUCGGAUCGUAAAACUCUGUUGUUAGGGAAGAACAAGUGCCGUUCGAAUAGGGCGGCGCCUUGACGGUACCUAACCAGAAAGCCACGGCUAACUACGUGCCAGCAGCCGCGGUAAUACGUAGGUGGCAAGCGUUGUCCGGAAUUAUUGGGCGUAAAGCGCGCGCAGGUGGUUUCUUAAGUCUGAUGUGAAAGCCCACGGCUCAACCGUGGAGGGUCAUUGGAAA
rnacentral:rRNA from 1 species